rnacentral:lncRNA from 1 species
GUUGUAUUUUGGAGGGGAGAGAAUCCCGGGUCAGCUCAGCCCGCCAUUUUGCUCCACCCCUUCCUCCCCCAUAUCGUAUUCUUGACAUGUAACAAUAUGUUAGAUGAAUCUAGUUGAAAUUCAUAAUCACUAUCAUCAGUUUUCAUUUAUUGAGUACUAAUAAAGCUAUACAUCCUCCCCCUUAAAAAUUGUUUCCUGUUUGUUCUGCAUUAUAGUAACCAUCCAUUGUAAAGAUGGUUCUAAUCUGAAUAAAGAUAUUAGGCUAUUUAUGUAUUUAACCUGUGUGAAUUUUGCAUAGUAACAUCACAUGUGCAUGUUCUAUAUUACUCCAUAUCUGGACCCAGUUUAGCGUAUAAACUCUCACAUCUGCUUCAUAGUGGAAAACUUAAUCUUGCCAAGUCAAAGAAACUCAAUGACUUUUGAUUUAAAAUUAGUAUUUUUAGGUUAAGUCAGGAUUCUCAGUCCUUUCUUUCUCUCUCUUUGCUGCCCUCCUAGGUAGCACAGGGAUCUGGAAGGCUUAUGCAACAAUGGACAUUUCUGCUGUGGAGUCUUCAAAUUACUUAUCUUCAUCAUCCAGAUUCAUCUUUUGUUUGCUCUCUGUGCAUACCAAUUUUCAUUCUGGUUCAUUGUGAUGUGCUUAAAACUCUUCAAGGGCAUUUCUCUUGCUCUUGGGAUAAAGAGAAAGCAGCUGCAAUGGAAAGAACACGGAUGACAAAGGCAAUGUGGACACAGAGCACUCUUACAGACAGCAAGCUCUUCACGCCAAAGAGCACUCCUGGGAUUUCCAAGAUGCAUCCAAAACACCUGGAGAGGUAA